GAACGCAUCUUGCGCUCCUUGGUAUUCUGAGGAGCAUGCCUGUUUGAGUGUCAUGAACACCUCAACUCUCGUGGCCUGCCACGAUGAGCUUGGACUUUGGGGGUCUUGCCGGCCUAGCGUCGGCUCCUCUCAAAUGGAUCAGCUUGCCAGUGUUUGGUGGCGUCACGGGUGUGAUAACUAUCUACGCUUGUGGUUUUCUACCAUGUAACCUUCAGUGAUGGAGGUUCGCCGGGGCUCACAGAUGUCUCUCCUUGGGGAGGACAGCUUUUUGAACGUUUGAUCUCAAAUCAGGUAGGACUACCCGCUGAACUUAAG
rnacentral:misc_RNA from 1 species